CCUAGUAGAUCUGCCGGAGUACUGCCGCACCACCUUCACUCUGCCGGAGCACCUCCAUCUCGCCUGAUUCUCCGACGUCACUUCGAAAACGGGGUUUGAAUGCUUUUACUAAAGAAUGUCCUGCUGCAAAGCUUUUUGCUAAGCAUUUGAAGAUUGAAGAACAUGUGUUGAUUGAUUAGUAUGUACAAGCAUUAGCGAUGGUUCAGUAGCGGUGACGAUUGUGAGUAUUAGCGGCGACAAAAGUCGCCGCUAUUGCGAAAAUUUUUUGUAGUGUUUACACCAGUACAACUCCUCACCUAUACUAACUCACACACCAACGGACCACUACAACAGCCACCCACAACCACCACAAACCAUCUCUGCGUCACCGAUCAACCUAGGGUUUCAAAAUAUUAUUAUUAUUAUCACGUGCAGGGAGUGAUUGGCGUGCGUUUGAUAGAAGACCGAUUAUGUUAAUUUUGAUUUGAAUAGAGCUGGUUUAGUGGGUUUUGUUAAUUUAGGGUGUUGUGGUAGGCAAGUCUGUACAGUCUAACAAAUGCGACAACAAUGGUGGUGGAUUCGUCUUUCUGGUAGCAAUGGCGGCGGCAAUUGUUAGUUCAAUGGUGGUGGGUAUUCAGUAGAGGAGAUGAGAUGGUGGUGGUUUGGGGUAGAAGAAGAUGGGUUGAGGGUGGGGUGGGACCCAUAAUGUUUUAUUGUUGUAAUUAAACAUUUUGUUUUUGUUUUUCUUAAUAAGUAAUG